UAUGACUAGACGAAGGUAUAAAUGGGAGCUUUAAGAUGGAUUGUUGAUGGCAUUGACAAGAACUUCAGAGUCCGACUCAAAGAUGACAUCUGUGAACUUACAAUUUUGGGCGAGAGAGAGAGCAUUCAAAGCUGCAGUGGCUUCCACCUCCAACGUCAAAUGGGCCGUCGAAGCGGAGGCUACCCCCGAGAUCAAGUACACAUCUGAUUUUCUUGCAAUUACUCUAAUUCCUGCAUUCAUAUUUUCAUAAUUUCACGCUCCAUCAAAGUUUUAUUUUAUUUUUUAUUAUUCCAUGAGGAGGGAGCAGCCAAGAUGAUGUGUUAGGAGGGUGGUGAUAGGGCUCGGAGAUAGAAGUGGUGAUCUGGAUUGGGGGGUGGGACUGAUAUUGAGGCUUAGUGGGUUGAAAGUGGAGAUGGGAAAUUGGUUGAUUGUUAUGAAUGCCUGGGUAUUGGGAUGCAUGUUGUUGCAAGGAGACAUGAUGCUUUGAUGACAAUCUUUUUAGUAAUCUAUAUUCUAGCCUUUGUAUCGUGAAUAUCAAGGCUUUCCAUAAAACACAACACUUUCCUUUAAGACAGUUACAGAGGAUCGAUAUUGUCUAAUCCUUCGUUUAUUAAAGGAAAAAAAAAAAAAAAACAAUUGAUUGUAACUUUGAGUAAGUUUGUCUUGAGAUUAAAUGUUGAAAGCUCAACCUCUAUAAUUCCACAACCCUAAAUUUUAAUACUUCUCAUGUUUAAACAG
rnacentral:lncRNA from 1 species